GUUAAAUCUAUUCUUCCCUUCAUCUAUUACCCUGUUUUAUUUCUGUUUUUGAGAACCUAUAUUUUUGCUAAUAAAUAUUCACUACACCAUUUCAUCCUGUAUUUAAUAUGCCCAGUGCAUGUUUGCUGUGCUAACUUCUCAACAGAUUGAGUGGACAUUCCACUGUUGCAGUGCAGUCAUAAAAUUCAGGAACUUAUAAAAUCCUACCUUUCCUCUCCUACCAUCGGUUUUGCUACAGUAUAUUUUCAGCUAUUUUUUCCCUACUGGCUCCAGCAUCUCAGAACAGAGCCACAGCUCCUCCCUGUGGUAUCCAGAUUGGAUUACUUCAUUGCCACACUAGAGAGUUCUUCACAGUCUCAUGUGCUCCUGGUUCAGUUUGCUCUACUGCAUUACUGUUUGACCACAUUUUAAACCUGGUUUUCAGGCAUGAUUUCAUGUGUUAAGAGGUAGGUAAAAGAGGAUCGAGCCUCUGUAAAAUACCUGCACUGUGCUAUACUAUACAUUGUAUAUGUGCUUAGAUAUACACAUAGAGAUAUAUAUUAAUGGGAGCAUAUAAUGUUGCUUCAAGAAGUCACAUAAGAAGUAGCUAACUAAAUUGGCUGAUAUGAGUAUCUGUCAUUAUAAUGGUAUUACUAUUAAUUUAAAGUAAGGUAGAAUUAUAGCUCACUUUUAAAACAGCUUAAUGUAUGACAUGGGCUGCAGUAACACUAGAACACAUACUGUAUGUACCUUUGAUCUUCUGCAUUACAUUAAGUAACAAAGACCAGAGGACUUUAGAUACGUACUAGAUAGGCUGUGUUUGAUCACGAUAAAAUGUUCUGUCCCAUUCUGGAUUAUGGAUUGUACCAUUGAUUUUUUUUUUAUCAAGGACUCUUUUAAGUGUGUUUGAUUCUUUUAAUUAGUUCAUUACAGCUAUUGUAAUGUUUACUCCAGUAUAAUCUCUAAUGAAUAGCACGGGACUUUUUAACAUGAAUGCUGUACUACUAGCAUUUAGAAAAAUUCACUGAAACAGUUAAAUCUACAUGAUAGUUUGCUGUUUUCCCCAGGUUAAAUGUUCUCACAACAUAUCUUUGUAAGGCUAAUCACUGUUUAUUUUAUUAAAGCUACGUCGGAGAUGGGUUUACUCAUGUGUGUACAGAAUGUGUAUGUAAUCACACUGUAUUAUGAGCAUAACUAUAUAUACAGUAUUUAUACACUUAUGGAGCAUUUUAUCUCUAAAAUAGUGAAGAAAGUUUUCAUGCUACAAAAAUCUGACUUCAUAUUUUCUGGAAGAUAUUUAUUCAGUCAUCUGCAAUAAUAAAAAAAAUAUCUUUUGGAAAAGAGAUCCUAGAAAGCUGUGGCUUUUCAUUUUUUCUGCAUGUCUGCUAUUAGUCUUUUUCUUUUCCAUUAUGUUCCAUUUGUGUCUCAAAUGCUGGGCUGAUGAAUCAGAAGUUCACCUUCCUUCUGUAUGUCAGUAGCCAAAAUCUGCUGCAAUAAAAGAUUUCCUGAAUUGCUUUUUAAUGUCUAAAGAAUACAGUGUGAGAAAUAGCUACAAAACCUUUCUGCAUACACUGAAAAAUAAAUGGAUAUGUAUUUUAAGAGAU